rnacentral:rRNA from 1 species
AAACUUUUAACAACGGAUCUCUUGGCUCUCGCAUC